AGACGGGAUAGCCCAGAGAAAUUUGGAUUAAUACCUCAUAGUAUAGUACCUCCGCAUGGAGGGAACUAUUAAAGUCACAACGGUAAAAGAUGAGCAUGCGUCCCAUUAGCUAGUUGGUAAGGUACCGGCUUACCAAGGCGACGAUGGGUAGGGGUCCUGAGAGGGAGAUCCCCCAAACUGGUACUGAGACACGGACCAGACUCCUACGGGAGGCAGCAGUGAGGAAUAUUAGGUCAAUGGAUGCAAGUCUGAACCAGCCAUGCCGCGUGCAGGAAGAAGGCUUC
rnacentral:rRNA from 1 species